rnacentral:rRNA from 1 species
GAUGAGCGCUGGCGGCGUGCCUAAUACAUGCAAGUCGAGCGAACGGACGAGAAGCUUGCUUUUCUGAUGUUAGCGGCGGACGGGUGAGUAACACGUGGAUAACCUACCUAUAAGACUGGGAUAACUUCGGGAAACCGGAGCUAAUACCGGAUAAUAUUUUGAACCGCAUGGUUCAAAAGUGAAAGACGGUCUUGCUGUCACUUAUAGAUGGAUUCGCGCUGCAUUAGCUAGUUGGUAAGGUAACGGCUUACCAAGGCAACGAUGCAUAGCCGACCUGAGAGGGUGAUCGGCCACACUGGAACUGAGACACGGUCCAGACUCCUACGGGAGGCAGCAGUAGGGAAUCUUCCGCAAUGGGCGAAAGCCUGACGGAGCAACGCCGCGUGAGUGAUGAAGGUCUUCGGAUCGUAAAACUCUGUUAUUAGGGAAGAACAUAUGUGUAAGUAACUGUGCACAUCUUGACGGUACCUAAUCAGAAAGCCACGGCUAACUACGUG